rnacentral:rRNA from 1 species
AGCGGCGGACGGGUGAGUAACACGUGAGUAACCUGCCUUUGACACAGGGAUAGCCUCGGGAAACCGGGAUUAAUACCAGAUAACAUUAUCAGAUCGCAUGAGAAGAUAAUCAAAGCUGAGGCGGUCAAAGAUGGACUCGCGUCCCAUUAGCUAGUUGGUAGAGUAAUAGCCUACCAAGGCAACGAUGGGUAGCCGGCCUGAGAGGGUGAACGGCCACAUUGGAACUGAGAAACGGUCCAAACUCCUACGGGAGGCAGCAGUGGGGAAUAUUGCACAAUGGGGGAAACCCUGAUGCAGCGACGCCGCGUGAGCGAAGAAGGUUUUCGAAUCGUAAAGCUCUGUCCUAUGGGAAGAUAAUGACGGUACCAUAGGAGGAAGCCCCGGCUAACUACGUGCCAGCAGCCGCGGUAAUACGUAGGGGGCAAGCGUUGUCCGGAAUCACUGGGCGUAAAGGGUUCGCAGGCGGAAAUGCAAGUCAGUUGUGAAAGGCAGAGGCUCAACCUCUGUAAGCAAUUGAAACUGUAUUUCUUGAGAUGUGGAGAGGCAAGUGGAAUUCCUAGUGUAGCGGUGAAAUGCGUAGAUAUUAGGAAGAAUACCGGUGGCGAAGGCGACU